UACGUAGGGGGCAAGCGUUGUCCGGAAUCAUUGGGCGUAAAGAGCGUGUAGGCGGCCAGAUAAGUCCGCUGUGAAAACUCGAGGCUCAACUUCGAGCUGUCGGCGGAAACUAUCUGGCUAGAGUCCGGAAGAGGAGAGUGGAAUUGCCUGGUGGUAAGCGGUGAAAUGCGCAGAUAUCAGGAAGAACCACCGUGGCGAAGGCGGCUCUCUGGGACGGUACUGACGCUGAGACGCGAAAGCGUGGGGAGCGAACAGG
rnacentral:rRNA from 1 species